rnacentral:misc_RNA from 1 species
CUCGAAAUGGACAUAAAGAAACGUUGGAUUAAUCUCUUCAGCUCGACUACUCCAAUGCUUCAAUGAACUAGCCACAGAGGCACUGCCUGCCUAACUCUCAGCUCGCAUAUCUUAUUCUCCAGUUCCCAAAUCUCUCGACUUCAACCUUUCAGAUUCUGUUACUUCGUUUUCCGGUCCAUAUCCUUUACUUAGCAAUAUAGACAUCUUUUUAGUUUCUGUUGUGAGGCUUUCUCUCUUAAUGUCAAGUAGCUCCAGUGACAGCACUUUUGACGCAGAGGAACUUUUGCAGAUUGGGACAAGAUGCAGAGAGCUACAGAAAGAAAAAUACUUGUUGAGUAAAUCUCAAUCACAUAGCUUUGAACUAAUCCAGAUGUUGGAACUACAUGUGAAAUCAUUAUCAAAAGCUCGUGCUGAAGACAGAAAGCACAUUCAGAAAUUGGAAAAAGAGUUAUUGAACUGCACUCAAGAGAUAGAUUACCUGCAGGAUCAACUAAAUGCAAGGAAUGCAGAAGUUUACAGCUUGGGGGAGCAUGUACAUGACCUUGAGUUGAAAUUAGCAGACAUGGAUAAUUUACAGGUGAAGGUUGGUCAGUUACAGGGGGAAAUGAAGAUGUCUGACACAGAGUGCUUCUUAUUGAUACAGGAUUUGAAGAGCAAAGAAUUAGAGCUGCAAAAAUCAGUUUUAUGCAUAGAGAAAUUGGAGGAAUCUAUUUCUUCUUUAACCCUAGAUUCCCAAUGUGAAAUAGAGAGUAUGAAGCUUGAUAUAAUGGCUUUGGAGCAAGCAUGCUGUGAAGCUAAAAGGGACCAGAAGGAAACCACUCUAGAAAAGGCAGCAAUGGAUGAGUUAAUAAAAGGACUGGAGCUUCGAGUUCAUGAUGCAGAGGAAAUUAUAGAAUGCCUAGAAAAGGAGAAUAAAGAACUGAGAGAGAAAUUUUUUACAUCUGAAAUGCAUGCGGGACAAUUUCUUCAAAAGAUAGAGGAGUGGCAAGAAAACAAGUACAAGUCACAACUUAAUAUUCAGCAAAAAUUAAGUGAACCGGAGAGCAAAAAUAUGUCAAGAGAAAUGAGUGCUUGCGGAGAGGUACUUGGUCUACUUUUUUCAAAAUUGGCUAUUGUAUUGGUACCAGAAUCAAAUUUGAAAAACCAAAUGGAAAGAAUGUCUCACCAGAUAAGCGAAUAUGAAGUUCUUUUGAAACAGCUUAAGGUAUGGGUUAUGACCUAUGAGGAUGCAUAAUUACCUUGGAGUGGGACAAUGUUAAUGAGGAAGCUUUGAGAGAGGAAAAAUUGAAGGCAAAGGAAGAAGCUGAUGACCUAGCACAAGAAAUGGCUGAGCUGAGGUAUCAAAUGACAACUUUACUUGAAGAAGAGUGCAAGCGCCGUGCUUGCAUUGAAAACGCAUCAUUACAGAGAAUAGCUGAAUUAGAGGCGCAGAUUCAAAAAGAACAGAGGAAGCCUUUUGGUCAGGCAAUUCCAUGAAGCAUAGGAAUUGGCUGCAUCUAGAACCAUGGGGAUCCAUUAAUUAGAAUGUGUUUUGAGGAGAGUUGUGAUGUUCCAUUGGAUAGCAACAUGUCUGGAUUUGCUGGGCAUUAAUGUCAGCAUAUGGGUUUUAAAUGUGCGUUCACUGCUUACUUCUAUCUGAUAGAUGAUGCAGCACCCUAGGCUCAAGGUGCAUCCAAAUAAGCUGAGAUAAUAUUUUGUUUAGUUAUUUACUCAUCGGCUUGGAGUGGGAUACCUUUUUUUUUCUUAAUUUAUGUCAAUUAGGAAAAGCAUGAGAGUCAAAGCUUUCACAAAUAUGGACAGUCCCCAGUGCAUCUUCUCUUUGGGUGAGGCUGAUGGGUUAUCAUGUUUCGGGUAUAAAGCAUUCUGAGCAGAAAUUGUACCUAAGCUCCACAUUUGAAUGAAGCAUAUUAUUGCAGAUAUAUAUAUAUGGGUGAGCGUUUGAUGUAGAAGAAAUCUAAAUGUACAAGUAUAGCGCAGUCAGUUUUGUAUUUUUACAUUUGUUUUAUUGAUCUAAUUGUCUAUCAUUUGGUGAUUAAAAA